rnacentral:lncRNA from 1 species
GACGAUGGGUACCAUCAUGGCGAUGCACGGAUCGAUCGAUCGAUUUGAUGAUGCCUUUAGUGGAACUUGAGGCUGGUGAGGAUGUUGUUGUUGACGGGGUCGGAGAGGUGGUCGAGGAGGUUCUGGAAGGGGCCGACGCCGGUGAAGAUGGCCUGGAUGGACAUGCCGAGGAAGGCGAGCAUGGCAAGGCGGCCGUUCUUGAUCUCCUUGAGCUUGAGCUCUGCCAACUCCUUGUCGCUCUUGGUGCCGAAGCCGAGCGGGUUGAAGAUGGGCCCGCCGGGGUAGGCGGGGUCGCCGGAGCCGCCGAGGAACUUCUCCAGGCCCAGGAAGUACUGCUUCCCCAUGGAGCCUGGGUUGUACCAGUCCUGCAGCCGCCGGUGCUCCGCGAACCCGAUCAGCGCCAUCUCGAACACGAACAGCGUGUAGGGGUCGGCCCAGUACUGGUACGUGCCCGCAGGCGGGAUGGCGCCCGCCUGGAACCACGGGAUCGCCGUCUCCGGCGGGACAAGCCCGACCUUGCCCAAGGCCUCCGGUGCGAUCAUGCCCACCACGCCCAUCAUCGCCGUCCGCCCGUUGAAGACCUCGCCGUAGGCCAGCCACUUGGGCUCGAUGAACCCGCCGGUGCCCUCCGGGUCCGACAGGCCCAGCGGGUCGAAGCCGAAGUCACCCGGCAGUCUGCACACCAUUAAUACUUUCUUGAUCAGAUUCUCAAUCAAUUCUCUUUGCCACCCUGCCAAUAUUCCAAUGAAUACAUAUUGUGCUCCGGUGCAAGACUUACG